GAUGAAGAACGCAGCGAAAUGCGAUAAGUAAUGUGAAUUGCAGAAUUCAGUGAAUCAUCGAAUCUUUGAACGCACAUUGCGCCCGCCAGUAUUCUGGCGGGCAUGCCUGUUCGAGCGUCAUUUCAACCAUCAAGCCCUGCUUGCGUUGGGGUCCUGCGGCUGCCCGCAGGCCCUGAAAACCAGUGGCGGGCUCGCUAGUCACACCGAGCGCAGUAAUACAUCUCGCUUUGGGCGUGCGGCGGGUUCUUGCCGUUAAACACCCCCUUUUUACCACGGUUGACCUCGGAUCAGGUAGGAAUACCCGCUGAACUUAAGCAUAUCAAUAAGCGGAGGA
rnacentral:misc_RNA from 1 species